GUGUGUGGCCAUGCCACCGUGAACAAGCCCUAUGUCUGAUCUUGGAAGCUUAAGCAGGGUCGGGCCUGGUUAGUACUUGGAUGGGAGACUACCUAGGAAGACCAGGUGCUGUAGGCA
rnacentral:rRNA from 1 species